CGGGCCCCUCAACUGGAUCACCUUCAAUGUGGGCUACCACGUGGAGCACCACGACUUCCCCAGCAUCCCAGGCUGCAACCUGCCCCUGGUGCGGAAGAUUGCGCCCGAGUACUACGACCACCUGCCGCAGCACUCCUCAUGGGUGAGGGUGCUCUGGGAUUUUGUGUUUCAGGACUCCCUGGGGCCCUAUGCCAGGGUGAAGCGGGUGUACAGACUCGCAAAGGAUGGCCUGUGAGGCUGCCUCCUGGUGGCCAUCAUCCCCCACCUGCCCCUCCGGCCUCUCACCCCAGCUCUGAGGGGAUGCAUUUCCUUCCUGCGCCCCGGGCUGCUGCCCUUGUCCCCUCAGAGCGUCCUGCACAGCACACCUGGCCACAGCAGUGUGGGCUGCAGGGCUCUAUCUGCUCGUGGACUCACCCUGGACCUUCGCAGUGGCCCUCCCUUUCCGUCCCUCACCGGGCAAGGCCUGGACCUGCCCGUGGUGACCUGGGUGCUCUGAGCCCACAGUACCCACAGAGCUGACUUCUUGGGGUGCCUGUGCCGUCCAUUAAACCUGGCGUCUGUUUCACA